rnacentral:lncRNA from 1 species
UUCAAAUCUUGUAAAAGAUACAAGUUACUGUCCGAUUUUGUCAUGAUCUCCAAUAAAACUUUUAUUUUGAAACCAAAUGCCGUUAUUUAAUGACAUUUCAUUAAUAAAAAAAAGUGACAACAUAUGUGUUUCCUUUAAUCAUUUAAUUUAUAUUUUUAUUUUGCCAUAUUUUUUUUUUUGGGAUGCCGAAUCGAUGUGCACGCAACUGCGUGUUAGCGUAUAUGCAGCUACGCGCC